rnacentral:rRNA from 1 species
AAUGGUAUUCUAGGUUUAAGGUAAUUGCAAAUCCUUGUGGUUUGAAUCCUUAAUACCAAAUACUUUUGCGGUUGUUGAGAAGCGAACAGGCACUUGUUGCGGUCAAAUAUAAUGACGAGUCGUGUUUAUACGAGUUGUGGACGGGUAACCGUAGCACUUUGUAUGAACUGGUUGUCAGUCAUUGUAUAUUGGCUCUGUUCAGAAUUGCAAUCUAAAGCAUGCGUGGUCUGCCUGUCCCGUCUUGAAACACGGACCAAGGAGUCUAACAUGUACGCAAGUCAUUGAGAAUUAAUAAACUCAAAGGCAAAAUGAAAGUGAAGACUUGCAUUAGUAAGUUGAGGAGAGAUCAAGGCAUUACUUGAAAUUCUGAAAAGAUUGAGCUUGUAGUAUGUAUGCGCAUCUCCUGGACGUCUAUACCUCUGAAGGUUGGGCGUACCUAGAGCGUACACGUUGGGACCCGAAAGAUGGUGAACUAUGCCUGGUCAGAACGAAGUCAGGGGAAACUCUGAUGGAGGUUCGUAGCGAUUCUGACGUGCAAAUCGAUCGUCGGAACUGGGUAUAGGGGCGAAAGACUAAUCGAACCAUCUAGUAGCUGGUUCCCUCCGAAGUUUCCCUCAGGAUAGCUGGCACUUGUACCAGUCUCAUCCGGUAAAGCGAAUGAUUAGAGGCCUUGGGGCCGAAACGACCUCAAC